rnacentral:rRNA from 1 species
AUACGGAGGGUGCAAGCGUUAUCCGGAUUCACUGGGUUUAAAGGGUGCGUAGGUGGGUAUGUAAGUCAGUGGUGAAAUCCCCGAGCUUAACUUGGGAACUGCCGUUGAUACUAUAUAUCUUGAAUGUCGUAGAGGUUAGCGGAAUAUGUCAUGUAGCGGUGAAAUGCUUAGAUAUUACACAGAACACCGAUUGCGAAGGCAGCUUACUAAACUGUCACUGACGCUGAUGCACGAAAGCGUGGGGAGC